UACGUAGGGGCAAGCGUUGGUCCGGAAUCAUUGGGCGUAAGAGCGUGUAGGCGGCCCGGUAAGUCCGCUGUGAAAGUCCAGGGCUCAACCCUGGAUGCCGGUGGAUACUGUCGGGCUCGAGUCCGGAAGAGGCGAGUGGAAUUCCUGGUGUAGCGGUGAAAUGCGCAGAUAUCAGGAGGAACACCAGCGGCGAAGGCGGCGCCUCUGGGCCGGAUGACUGACACUGAGGAGCGAAAGCGUGGGUAG
rnacentral:rRNA from 1 species